CACGCUUAGACAGGUCAUGGGAACACAUUAAAAAGUAGAAGGAAGAAAAAUAUUAAUUAUUCAGAGACAAUAAUUGUUAAAAUAAUCUAUUUUUUCCCAAAGUUUUUUCUUCUAGAUGCAUAGAUUGUUUUUCCAAAUUGAGAUCAUAUUGCAUGUCCAGUUCUGAGUGCUACUUUUUUUUAAAACUUGUAUGCUAACAUAAGCAUUUUCUUCUGAAUACAAACUAUUUACAAACAUUAUUUUUCAUGGUCCUGUCAUCAUUACACAGAUGCAUUCUGGUUUAAUCAGAUAUUUCUCUAUUGUCAAACACUCGAAGAUGUAUAUACGUUUUUUUUGAAUUAGAAAUAAUACUGUAAGAACUUCUUUGUCUAUAAGACUUUUUUUCUAUUUAUUCUUAAUUCCUUCAGAUAAAAUUACAAAACUGCAAUUCCUAGGUCUAAAGAUACUAAUUUACUUUUGUUUUUUUCCCCCCAGAUAUUUAAACUAAUACUCCCUGGAAUUAGGACAUCUGUGCUGUCUCCAGGACACCAGAGCUCUCCCGAAGGAGGUGCCUCACUUAUUAACAUCGUAACUCACGUAAGUUGCUUGGAGUCACCACACAUGGAAAAUUGCAUUCUGCAAAGUGUUGAAGCUGCAAAGUCACCAGCUGAGUCGAUAGACUUUUAUUUUAACGAUGUUUGUGAUCAAUAUUUAAGCAGGAUUGACCGAGGCUGCUGCACCUCUCUUCUUCCAGCUGCUUGUGAAAGAUAAAAUAUUUACUUGCGGGAGGGGUCAGCGGGGGGAGUUACAAUGGUUUGAGGCCAAGGGGGUAGUUUAAGGGUAGUAUAGAGCCAGAGUGCCACAGAGCAUUAGCAUCAAGCUCUGAUGGGCCCUGAAGUCUCUCAGGGCCAAAGUGGCUUUUGUUCAGACAUUCUGGGCAGGUUAUGAGAGAAUGAGAAUUUACAGAAAGAUUUGGUCACUAGUAGUAUAAAC
rnacentral:lncRNA from 1 species